rnacentral:rRNA from 1 species
GACGAACGCUGGCGGCGUGCUUAACACAUGCAAGUCGAACGGAAAGGCCCUGCUUUUGUGGGGUGCUCGAGUGGCGAACGGGUGAGUAACACGUGAGUAACCUGCCCUUGACUUUGGGAUAACUUCAGGAAACUGGGGCUAAUACCGGAUAGGAGCUCCUGCUGCAUGGUGGGGGUUGGAAAGUUUCGGCGGUUGGGGAUGGACUCGCGGCUUAUCAGCUCGUUGGUGGGGUAGUGGCUUACCAAGGCUUUGACGGGUAGCCGGCCUGGGAGGGUGACCGGCCACAUUGGGACUGAGAUACGGCCCAGACUGCUACGGGAGGCAGCAGUGGGGAAUAUUGCACAAUGGGCGGAAGCCUGAUGCAGCAGCGCCGCGUGCGGGAUGACGGCCUUCGGGUUGUAAACCGCUUUCGCCUGUGACGAAGCGUGAGUGACGGUAAUGGGUAAAGAAGCACCGGCUAACUACGUG